UAUGAAUAUGCGCUUCAAGUUCACUCGACCUCACCACCUCAGUUCUCUUUCCUCUCUCUUUCUCUCCUUCUCCUUCUUCUCUUCCUCAAAGACGAAGGCAACCAUCGCCGCAGCCGCAACCACAUCCACAACCACCGUCGCUCACAAAUUAAAUUCUCUCUCUUUCUUCUCCCUCCACAUUCACUGAUGGUCACGGUGGUGAUGGUGGUCGCGAGUAAUAAUGACGGUGCGGUUCAAUUUUUAGGGUUUUGAUUGGUGUUCAUAGGUUUCGAUUUGUAACUGUUGGCGGUGGUGGAGAGCAGCGAUGGUGAGUUUUGAUUUGUAAUUGAUGGCGGUGGUGGAGAGUUGCUGAACUAAAGUCGCUCAAACUCCAGCUUCGUGCCCUGAUCUUUGAGUGCCGGUGUGAUGCUGGUUUUUGUUGGCUGUUGCUGGUUUCUGUUGGGUAAUGCGGGUACUAUGGUGGUGUUGCUGGGCUCUCCUGUUGCCUUGAGUCUGUUUCCGUUGGGAGCUGCUACCACCUGCUUUGUGUUGCUUUUGGGGUGGCUCUUGCUGCUGGGCUGCUACUGCUCUUACUGCUGCCUCUGCCUGUUCUUCUUGCUGUUGCUACUGCUCUAGCUGCUGCCUAUGCCUGCUCUUCUUGCUGCUGGUGCUCUUCUGUCAGUUAGUGCUGUCAACUUUGUUGGGUUUUUUUUCAUAUUUUAUUUUGUUGUUUUGUAUUGGCAUGUUGGUGUAUCUUUGGUUGUUUUGGUUUUGCUUGUUUUUGUUGGUGUUUAGAGUGGUUGUUUUUGUACCGUCCCUCAGGAUGGGGGUGCCCCUCCUAGAGGGUAGCUCCCUUCCUUUGAGGUCGGGGAGCCUUUGUCUGGUUUAAGCUCUAAAAGAACCCUUCCUAGAAGGUGGCUUUUGGAGUUUGGAUCUUAGGCUGGUGGGUGUGCAAAUAAUAAAGUUGUUCGAUUGUUUUUAAUUAAAUAUUGAAUAAUAUCUCACUCUUGUCUAAGUCAUUUGAGAGAGGGAGUGAGAGAUUAAGAGAGAAUAAAAAAACCUACAAGUAUAUGAUUAUGUUUAGCCUCCUUAAAGACGGAUUAUUGUUAUUCUAAUGAUGCUUAUUAUAAGUAUAUAAUAUGGUUAUUGAACAGCAUGCAGAUACACAAAUAAACUUUCGGAACUUCGAGUUUAUUUUUUACUUCUUUUUUUCUGCUUGAAUUAUAUAUGAGAAAAGAGGAAUGAUGGAUGUUUAUCUUCUUUUUUUAUUCUGAAUUCUUGAAAUUGGAUUGUGUUUUUAUAAGGUUUUUGGGUUUUAUUUGAUAUAUGCAGGUUGUAGGGAAUUGACUACGCUGAUAUUUGACUUUGUUUUUUUUACUGGAUGAUGUAGAUGUAAACAAUUGCUUGAGCACAACAACGAUUUCUAUGAUAGGAGUUGGACUCGAUUAAGGAAACUUUGAACACUGAGUUGCAAAGAGCUCCAACAGCAUUCAACAUCAUCAAGUACUAGUAAAAUAGGUGGAUACUGAAGUUGAAGAAGGUGCUUCCCGAAUUGCUUUACUUAAGAAAUUGGAGAAGUGGGAGAAAGAAAUGAUAUUGCGGCCCAAACAAUUGCUGAAAAUAUGGUUUGGGGGACAAAAUGAUUUAGUUUUAAUAUUUUAAUUGUUUUUUUUCUUAA